GACGAACGCUGGCGGCGUGCUUAACACAUGCAAGUCGAACGGAAAGGCCCUGCUUUUGUGGGGUGCUCGAGUGGCGAACGGGUGAGUAACACGUGAGUAACCUGCCCUUGACUUUGGGAUAACUUCAGGAAACUGGGGCUAAUACCGGAUAGGAGCUCCUGCUGCAUGGUGGGGGUUGGAAAUUUUCGGCGGUUGGGGAUGGACUCGCGGCUUAUCAGCUUGUUGGUGGGGUAGUGGCUUACCAAGGCUUUGACGGGUAGCCGGCCUGAGAGGGUGACCGGCGACAUGGGGACUGAGAGACGGCCCAGACUCCUACGGGAGGCAGCAGUGGGGAAUAUUGCACAAUGGGCGGAAGCCUGAUGCAGCAACGCCGCGUGCGGGAUGACGGCCUUCGGGUUGUAAACCGCUUUCGCCUGUGACGAAGCGUGAGUGACGGUAAUGGGUAAAGAAGCACCGGCUAACUACGUG
rnacentral:rRNA from 1 species